rnacentral:rRNA from 1 species
UACGUAGGGCGCAAGCGUUGUCCGGAAUUAUUGGGCGUAAAGAGCUCGUAGGUGGUCUGUCGCGUCUGCCGUGAAACCGAGGCUUAACCUCGUGGCUUGCGGUGGAUACGGGCAGACUAGAGGUAGGUAGGGAGAAUGGAAUCCGGUGUAGCGGUGAAUGCGCAGAUAUCGGGAGGAACACCGGUGGCGAAGGCGGUCUCUGGCCUUACCUGACGCUGAGGAGCGAAAGCGUGGGAGCGAACAGG